UCUUGUUUUUAUGCAACAUAGCUCAUCUUUCAAUCUCAAAGUCCAGCAAGAGCUGCGUAGACAAAACCAAGCAUAUGAGUUUUUUGCCUGCAUAAAACAACGGCAUGCCCACAGCCCACUUGGUCCCAAAACUAACCUAUACUCAAAUGACUAUCUAUAAUAAAAGACACCCAUAUUUGGAGGGCUCAAAUAUGACCAAGCAAAGUCGAUAUGACAAUCACUCAAUCAGUAAUAUGAGUCACGUAAAAUAUUUUGAUAGUUUAUGUAAACUCGAUCGCAUGGGUAGUCCAAACCAAAACGUAUAGAAGCUAUUUCGUAAGGAUGACCGGAAACCAAAACGUCAAAACCGCAAACUCCAUGAUCAGUCUUGACAAGGCAAUAAAGUAGUUAAAUAAACAUUCCAACUCCUAACGAAGAAGAAUGG
rnacentral:lncRNA from 1 species